GGGGGUGGUGGGGAAGGACAUCCUCCUGGACUCGGACCGGGAUGUCUACGAGCCCGUGGACCUGGGCUUCGGGGCCUGCCGCCUCUCCC
rnacentral:tRNA from 1 species